rnacentral:rRNA from 1 species
GUGCCAGCAGCCGCGGUAAUACGAAGGGGGCUAGCGUUGCUCGGAAUCACUGGGCGUAAAGGGUGCGUAGGCGGGUCUUUAAGUCAGGGGUGAAAUCCUGGAGCUCAACUCCAGAACUGCCUUUGAUACUGAGGAUCUUGAGUUCGGGAGAGGUGAGUGGAACUGCGAGUGUAGAGGUGAAAUUCGUAGAUAUUCGCAAGAACACCAGUGGCGAAGGCGGCUCACUGGCCCGAUACUGACGCUGAGGCACGAAAGCGUGGGGAGCAAACAGGAUUAGAAACCCCCGUAGUCC